GAUGAACGCUGGCGGCGUGCCUAAUACAUGCAAGUCGAACGCUGGAAAUCUAGCUUGCUAGAUUGAAGGAGUGGCGAACGGGUGAGUAAUACAUAAGCAACCUACCCACGAAGACUGGGAUAAUCUCUGGAAACGGGGAUUAAUACCGGAUAGGUAAUCGGAAGCCAUCUUCUGAUUAUUAAAGGUUAAAAGCACUGGUGGAUGGGGUUAUGGCGCAUUAGUUAGUUGGUGAGGUAACGGCCCACCAGGACGAUGAUGCGUAGCCGGGCUGAGAGGGUGAACGGCCACAUUGUGACUGGGACCCGGCCCAGACUGCUACGGGAGGCAGCAGUAGGGGAUGUACGGCAGUGGGAGAAACCCUGACCGAGCGACGCCGCGUGAGUGAUGGCGGCCUGCGGGUUGUAGAGCUCUGUUGUAAGGGCAGAACGGUAGAUAGAGAAUAUCUAAAUGACGGUACCUUACCAGAAAGCCACGGCUAACUACGUG
rnacentral:rRNA from 1 species